rnacentral:piRNA from 1 species
UUUGGUUACCUCCUUGAUAUACUGCAAA